GAUGAACGCUGGCGGCGUGCCUAACACAUGCAAGUCGAGCGAUUCUCUUUGGAGAAGAGCGGCGGACGGGUGAGUAACGCGUGGGUGACCUGCCUUGCAGCGGGGGAUAACGAGGGGAAACCUUCGCUAAUACCGCAUAGGCUUACACUGAUGGGAAUGGUGUGGGUAAAACUUUGGUGCUGCAAGAGGGGCCUGCGUCCGAUUAGCUAGUUGGUGAGGUAAAGGCUCACCAAGGCGAUGAUCGGUAGCUGGUCUGAGAGGACGAUCAGCCACACGGGAACUGAGAAACGGUCCCGACUCCUACGGGGGGCAGCAGUGAGGAAUAUUGGGCAAUGGGCUAACGCCUGACCCAGCAACGCCGCGUGGAGGAUGAAGGUUUUUGGAUUGUAAACUCCUUUUGUAGGGGAAGAGUGAGGACGGUACCCCAAGAAUAAGUCACGGCUAACUACGUG
rnacentral:rRNA from 1 species